GGUGAACUCUUCCCUGGGGCGGCAGACGGCCACCAUAUCUGGGACUCCAGCAACCUGGCUCACACUGUUUGCCCUGCCCUGGUGACUCCCGCGUAAGAUUUUUAAAGGGAGCCCUUUGGACUCUGUUCUAGCUGUCCCCACAAUGAGGCCGUCUACGAAGAGAUGAGAUUCUGCCGGCAAGCAUGCCUUUCGCCCAGAGGGCACAGACCACUGGAGGCCGGAGAUGUGGCCGAGUACCCACAGUUUAUCUUUUGUCUUCAGAGGACAUUUGUUAAAGCUGGGACAGUGAAACGAGAAGGGCUUAGCACAGAAGCAACGGGAGACCUGGGCGGGCUGCUCUGGCUCCCUGGGACGUCAGAGUGUUUUCCCAGAAGAAAACUUCGUAGGUGAGCGGGUGGUGCUGGAACGCAGACCCGUUCGGAGAGCCGAGGUAGACGCGCAAGGAGCU